rnacentral:rRNA from 2 species
AACAUUUCUUUUAGAUUUUUUUAAAAGUAAAGUCUGCCCACUGUUUUAUAAUAAAGGGCCGCGGUAUUUUGACCGUGCAAAGGUAGCAUAAUCAUUAGUCUCUUAAUUGGGGAAUGGAAUGAAUGGCUUAAUGAUUUUUUUCUUUUAUUUAUAAUAUUUUUAAAAUUUUGAUUUUAAGUGAAAAUACUUAAAUUUUUUAGUAAGACGAUAAGACCCUAUAGAAUUUUAUUUCUUUAUUUUAUUUAAAUAAAAUUAGAAGUUUAAAUGGGGCAUUUAUUGAAUAUAAAUAAUUUCUAUAAAAUAUAUUAAAAAAUAUCUUUAUUUUUAGAUUUUUAAAAAAUUACCUUAGGGAUAACAGCGUAAUAAUUUUUGAGAGUUCAUAUCGACAAAAUAGUUUGCGACCUCGAUGUUGAAUUAAAAUGCCUUUAUAAAGCAGCUUUUAUAAAAGGUAGUCUGUUCGACUAUAAAAUUUUUACAUGAUUUGU